UCGCCUACGGGGGGCAGCAGUGGGGAAUAUUGGGCAAUGGGCGCAAGCCUGACCCAGCAACGCCGCGUGAAGGAAGAAGGCUUUCGGGUUGUAAACUUCUUUUCUCAGGGACGAAGCAAGUGGCGGUACCUGAGGAAUAAGCCACGGCUAACUACGUGCCAGCAGCCGCGGUAAUACGUAGGGGGCAAGCGUUAUCCGGAUUUACUGGGUGUAAAGGGCGUGUAGGCGGGGAAGCAAGUCAGAUGUGAAAACCACGGGGUCAACCUGUGGCCUGCAUUUGAAACUGUUUUUCUUGAGUACUGGAG
rnacentral:rRNA from 1 species